UGACACAGUCACGAUUUCUGCUGCUGAGUAUGCCCAGUUAAAAUCUACUACACCGUCUGUGAGUGCCGCAGCUACAACAGGAUCUUUUGACGAGGCGGAUUAUUGGUAGAGGUUAUGAAUCUGGCGGGCACUAUAUACUGGAUGAUCGGGUGUCUCAUGCGGUAGCUUGCGCUAGCAGUCAUUCUCCCUUUGAAGUUCAUUGUCGAUUGGGUCAUUUGUCUCUAUCUUCUCUUAAGAAAGUUUAUCCUCAAUUUCAACAUUUGUCGUCUUUAGAUUGUGAGUCAUGUCAAUUUGCCAAGCAUCAUCGUCUUCCUUUAGUGUCUCGUGUCAAUAAACGGGUUUCAUCCCCUUUUGAGUUAGUCCAUUCUGAUGUUUGGGGUCCUUGUCCUGUAGAGUCCAAAGCAGGGUUUAAAUACUUUGUUACAUUUGUUGAUGAUUAUUCCCGGACAACUUGGUUAUAUUUAAUGAAAA